rnacentral:rRNA from 1 species
ACAUCCAGCGAACUUGGCAGAGAUGCCUUGGUGCCUUCGGGAACGCUGAGACAGGUGCUGCAUGGCUGUCGUCAGCUCGUGUUGUGAAAUGUUGGGUUAAGUCCCGCAACGAGCGCAACCCUUAUCCUUUGUUGCCAGCGAUUCGGUCGGGAACUCAAAGGAGACUGCCGGUGAUAAACCGGAGGAAGGUGGGGAUGACGUCAAGUCAUCAUGGCCCUUACGAGUAGGGCUACACACGUGCUACAAUGGCGCAUACAAGGAGAAGCGACCUCGCGAGAGCAAGCGGACCUCAUAAAGUGCGUCGUAGUCCGGAUCGGAGUCUGCAACUCGACUCCGUGAAGUCGGAAUCGCUAGUAAUCGUGGAUCAGAAUGCCCACGGUCGAAUACGUUCCCGGGCCUUGUACACACCGCCCGUCACACCAUGGGAGUGGGUUGCAAAAGAAGUAGGUAGCUUAACCUUCGGGAGGGCGCUUACCACUUUGUGAUUCAUGACUGGGGUGAAGUCGUAACAAGGUAAGCGUAGCGAG